rnacentral:rRNA from 1 species
AGUGAACGCUGGCGGUAGGCCUAACACAUGCAAGUCGAACGGCAGCACAGUAAGAGCUUGCUCUUACGGGUGGCGAGUGGCGGACGGGUGAGGAAUACAUCGGAAUCUACUUUUUCGUGGGGGAUAACGUAGGGAAACUUACGCUAAUACCGCAUACGACCUACGGGUGAAAGCAGUGGAUCUUCGGACCUUGCGCGAUUGAAUGAGCCGAUGUCGGAUUAGCUAGUUGGCUGGGUAAAGGCCCACCAAGGCGACGAUCCGUAGCUGGUCUGAGAGGAUGAUCAGCCAAACUGGAACUGAGACACGGUCCAGACUACUACGGGAGGCAGCAGUGGGGAAUAUUGGACAAUGGGCGAAAGCCUGAUCCAGCCAUACCGCGUGGGUGAAGAAGGCCUUCGGGUUGUAAAGCCCUUUUGUUGGGAAAGAAAAGCAGCAGGUUAAUACCCAGCUGUUCUGACGGUACCCAAAGAAUAAGCACCGGCUAACUUCGUG